GCCACCUUAGCUCAGUUGGUAGAGCAUUGCACUCGUAACGCAAAGGUCGUCGGUUCGAUCCCGACAGGUGGCU
rnacentral:tRNA from 1 species